GGAGGGAACGAGGGGAGGAGAGAAAAGAGGGUGGGGAGGGGAAGGCGGGCGGCGGGGGAGGGGAGCGCGCUGCUAGGGCAGACAAUGAGUCCCGCGCAGCCUGCGGGUGUGGGCUGAGCUGCGAGCGCGGUCCUAGGACUAAGAGCAAGUCCACCCAGGGGGCGCCGAUCCCGGGGACGCCGGGGGAGGGGCAGAGGUGGCAGAACGCCUGACCUGGCUGGCGACCCACACCCAUUCCUCCUCCCCCAGUUACACACAUACUCAAGGGGGGGAGGCGCUGGCAGGGUUGACUAUGCAUAGUCCAACGCUGUCUCCGCAGCGGGAGAGACGCGCCAUCUCGGGGGUCAGCGAGCCCUCAGAAAGUGAGGGGAAAGUGCCUUCCUCCGCUGGUCUCCCCCACUGCUGCCUCCACAUUAAAUGAACUUUUUGCCCCGUAGUUGUGUAUGUUUCCCGACCUCUUCUCGAGACCUUGGGGCUCAGGUCCUGGUGGCCGUCGGGGGUCUAGUCUCCUGUGAUGUAGGAAAGAAGGAACUAGAGCGCCUAGCUCCCUAUCUCUGCUCCGCUUUUUACAAACGGUUAGUCCACGAGGUGCGCAGAAGGGACAAGGGCUACUAGGCCAGUCGCGCUCUCCGAGUUCUGGUGUCCUGUUUGCUCUGAGCUUUCCCUGGAGAACUUCAGGUAAGUCACAUAUAAGUCGUUGGAAAGAGGAGGGGGGUCACCUUCCCUGGUUCCAGGGCUAAAUACCACUUCCCCACCCCCACCCUCACAUACACACCCCUUCUUCGCUCCCUCCAAAUGGUUAUCACAACUGUGUACAAACUGAUACGGUCCUUCGCCGGCAAAGGGACUGGAAAUGAACGUCGCGGGGUUAUCAGCGCCGAUCUGUCAGCAGGGAGUCGCGCGGCCCGCAGGUUCGUCCUCGGCAGGAGCCGUGAUGUAUGUCUCGCUCCCUUACGCUCACAAAAAGGAUUUCUUCCGACAGCUGUGACCCCAGAAGGCUGUCGAAAAUUUUAACUAGGGCAGGAGGAGUUGUUUUGUAGGAAUGGAUUUUUACACUUUUUUUCCAGGUAAAUCGAAGUAAAUGAUUUUCUAAAGGUCAGUCUCCCUGAAAGCCUUUGGGCUGUGUGUGUGUGUGUGUGUGUGUGUGUGCGCGCGCGCGCGCGUGCGCGCGCGUGUGUGUGUGUGUGUGUGUGUGUGUGUGUGUGUGUUUCCAGUUGGGGAAGGGAGAGUUGCAUAGAGUUGAACCCGGGUAGGUAGGGACAUAAUAAAAUUUAAGAGUUUGGAGAGAUUGUGAGAAGUCAUGGCUAAAUGUUUCCUUUCUAUGUAACUGUGACUUGUGAGCCUGUGUAUCCUGGGGGACAAGGGGACAGGGCCAGGCAGCGCGGGGGAGGAAGGUGCAGAAUCGAGGAAGUCCACGAUUCUCCUUUUCUUUUUUUCAUUCUUCGUUGUAAAUAGCUGUUAAACACUUCUGAAUUUUAAAUUGCUACCGAGAAGGUCCAUAAACCGUUCUCAUCCAAUUUAGUCACUUUUAUUACAUUCCUCUUCGCCUCCCCCAAUCACUGCGGCGGCUCCCAGUUUCAGCGUGGCCGUAAUUCGGAAAGACUGAAGGUAGAAAACUCUGGAACGGAGAUUGGCGACUGGAGCAGGAUCCAGGGACUUUAAAUUUUAACCUGAAUUCGAUUGAAUGCAUCUACCAGAAGAGAUAGUCCGGCGUCCGCCGUCCACUCAACUCCGACCAGGGCUUCCAAUGCCUUUCUUUUGGUUUCUACGUGAGUUCUGACCAAAUUUUUACGUAGACUGAGUUUUGCAGAAGUUCACUUAUAAGCCGUUACAGAAAGAUUGUGGGCAUUUGAUUUCCUUUGAGUCCAAUUGUUCUUAAAUGUUUCUAUGGUUUGCUCUCGAAAGCGAAGUUAUCUUUUUCUAAUUCAUAUCUUAGCGAGAUGCUGUCUAAGGAAGACAAGUUAGCAAAUAAAUUGGCUAAGUAAGAGUCCAGCCUGUGAACGGCCUCCAAGCCUGAGCCCAGAGAAGACCGAGCCCCGGCACGAACCUGAUUCCUGCUGCGUGUGUGUUUUUUUAUAUUUGCCAAACACGAGGUUGUCCUUGUGAAUUUCCCUGCACAAUAGCUGACACCCGGGAGAGGGUGCGCGGGCCCCGGCGCCGCUGGGACAGAGACUGGCUUUCCAACCAGAGGAGAGAAUGGAUAGUGAAAUUUUUUUCUUGUCAGUUAACUUCAAAAUAAAACAAAACUGUUUGACCCGUGGAGUUUAUUCAGACGGAAAGCCAGGUUGCCUGACUCGUCCAGUUUGCAAUUUUCCCAGCGCAUCGGCUUUGGCCCCGGAGACAACACCCCCAGGGAGAGGCACAUUUUCAAAGCCACCCUUCACCGGCCCCAGGCCCGGGGCUCUGAUCUCCCUGAGCGCCUCAGUUGGUCCCGGAAAGCGAGGAGAAGAGGGGGUGCAGAGGAAGAAGUGCACCCAAAGAGCUGGCGAAGGCCCCCAUAGUGUUCCAGGUGGAAAGCUUAGAAGUUUUCUUCGUGUUUCCUCCCGUUUCUUUUCUUCCUCCUCUUUUCCUUCCGCCCCUCUCUUCUUCGGUGAUUUGCUAAUAUGGAACGAAAUCGUUUGUCUCGGGACUAUUUAGACCCAAGAAGUGGCCCCUCCGGAGCGAGCCUGCCUCCCCAAGCGGCCCUUCUCACCUUCUGAAGGGGGCUGGCUCCCGGGCGCGGCCUGUCUCCAGGCUGAUUUAUUUGGGCCGCGCGCGCCACACCGCGCUUCGCGAUUCGAAUCCAGCCCGAACCCAGCCGCCAAUAGGGCAGGAGGCGGGGGCUUGGCGGCCAAACGGGGACGGGUGUUUGGGGACCAAGUUGUACGCCGCUUCCGGCGGAGCAGCGAGACUCGGGCGAAGACCCGUGUCAUGAUCCGCCUUUCUUCCCCAAACCUAAUCUCAUCCUGUUGUCCUUUCACCAAGCUCCUGGGUGCUCCAGCGACGUUGCAGGAGGAAAAAGAAUACAAUUACAUACCGUUUCUGACUUAAAAUAUAGUUUUAACUUGAGAGGUUUGUGGGGUUUUUUAAACCAGAUUUAUGGGGCCUUCUCGCUUGUGCUUAUAUUUCUUCCCGUCCCGGGGACACUUUGGCCGAAGGGCACGGGGUCACCUCGGCGCGCCCCGCCCCCACCCGCGCCCAGGCCCACUAGCCGGGACCGGCUGUCAGUCCAACACAGGCCAUCCCCCAGGGUCCUGACGGAGUGGGGGUUGGGGGAACUGUUGUUUUGUUUUUGUAAUUCUCGAAAACCCCAAAAUGCUCCUUAGAGACGUCAGGUGGUGACGGCGGAAGCACUGAAAAUGCGCAGCCUAGAGGUCGCCCCAACCGCGUGCCCUGGCUCUCCGCCCCACUGCCCGCAGCCUGUCAUCGGGCUCCGGAACGCAGCGCCCACGCCGGGCUGUCGCGAUCGGGACCCGGCCCCGCGGCCCCGCAGCCCCGGGCCGACCCCGCGCGCCGCCGGCGGCCGCCAGUUCGGCGCGGAGGUGGGCUCGCUGCGGCGGCGCGCGAAAGGUCACCGCGGUGGCAUUCCUGUCCGCGCGCUGUUUACGUGACUUAAUGUACUUCGUCCGCCGCGGCUUGUUAUCUAGGCCACCCAAUGACCGACGAAAGAUUUUCCCUCCCUGCUUCUCCCAAGGCCGCUUUAAACCAAAUAAAUUUAGCUAUUAAGGGCCAAGAUGUCUAACAAAAGAUCGAAAGGUGUCUUUCCGUGAUCGCUUAAAGAAGCGAAGGAGAAGCUUGUGGCUCUCGGAUCCCGAUAAAGACAUUCCACACCGGCGCCGGCCUCCCUCCCCGCGUCCUGCUUGCGUCCCAACACCCUGAGAUCCCCGCUUGGCGCCCAGAUCUCCGACGGGCUCGGCGGGACCUGCAGCCGCCGCCCGGCCAGGGAGUGCCAAAGCCUGGGGUCUCGGGAGCCCUUCCUGCUGGAGCCAAACUCCCAGAGCAGCCAGCCCUCUGCCCUCGGCGGAAAAAAAAACCUCAGUGGGAUCCUUAUUACCUCCCAUUUUAAUUAUUUUCUCAUACUGAAUAAGACUGCAAAGCCAAAUCACGCCUAACCUCCCAACCCACCACCCCCCUCCGGGUGGUUUUGCUGAGGGGCAUUGUUACUCCCCAUCUCCGGUGGUGGGGAGCAGACCUUUGGAACCUCAGUCAGAAGAUGGUGGGUGGAAGGAAUCCUGCUGAGGCUAAUCAGGAGGGUUCAGGUGGGAGGCAGCAGUCCAGAUAUUCAGUCACCUUGAGGUUGAGUUUGGUUAUGAAGAGUGGUAUUUAUUAUUGUUAUUAUUAUUAUUAUUAAUUACUACUGGCAUCGCUACGUAAAGCCUAGAGCUGCCAGCUGGACUGAAGCCCUGGCCCCUAGAGUGAUCCUUCCUUUUCACCAAAGAUGAAGCAGAGAAUAUCCUGUUUCCUGAU